CAUACGAUGUCAAUAGGUAAUGCUUAUGGAGGAGCUUGCGUCACAUUAGUUAGGAUUGGGCAGGGUUAAAGGCCUACCAAGACUAUGAUGUGUAGCUGGACUGAGAGGUUGAACACGCCACAUUGGGACUGAGACACGGCCCAAACUCCUACGGGAGGCAGCAGUAGGGAAUUUUCGGCAAUGGAGGAAACUCUGACCGAGCAACGCCGCGUGAACGAUGAAGUAUUUCGGUAUGUAAAGUUCUUUUAUUGAAGAAGAAAAAAUAGUGGAAAAACUAUCUUGACGAUAUUCAAUGAAUAAGCCCCGGCAAACUAUGUGCCAGCAGCCGCGGUAAUACAUAGGGGGCGAGCGUUAUCCGGAAUUAUUGGGCGUAAAGGGUGCGUAGGCGGUUUAAUAAGUCUAUAGUUUAAUUUCAGUGCUUAACACUGUCCUGCUAUAGAAACUAUUAGACUAGAGUGAGAUAGAGGCAAGUGGAAUUCCAUGUGUAGCGGUAAAAUGCGUAAAUAUAUGGAGGAACACCAGAGGCGUAGGCGGCUUGCUGGGUCUUUACUGACGCUGAGGCACGAAAGCGUGGGGAGCAAACAGGAUUAGAUACCCUGGUAGUCCACGCCGUAAACGAUGAGUACUAAGUGUCGGGAUUACUCGGUACUGAAGUUAACACAUUAAGUACUCCGCCUGAGUAGUACGUACGCAAGUAUGAAACUUAAAGGAAUUGACGGGACUCCGCACAAGCGGUGGAUCAUGUUGUUUAAUUCGAAGAUACACGAAACACCUUAGCAGGUCUUGACAUACUCUGCAAAGCUGUAGCAACCACAGGUGGAGGCCUGGAGACUAGUUGUUAAAGGGUU
rnacentral:rRNA from 1 species